rnacentral:rRNA from 1 species
ACAGUGAUGGAAAGAUGAAAAGAACUUUGAAAAGAGAGUGAAAAAGUACGUGAAAUUGUUGAAAGGGAAGGGCUUGAGAUCAGACUUGGUAUUUUGCAUGYUGCUCUCUCGGGGGCGGCCGCUGCGGUUUACCGGGCCAGCAUCGGUUUGGAGCGGCAGGAUAAUGGCGGAGGAAUGUGGCACGGCUUCUGCUGUGUGUUAUAGCCUCUGACGAURCUGCCAGCCUAGACCGAGGACUGCGGUUUUUAACCUAGGAUGUUGGCAUAAUGAUCUUAAGUCG